rnacentral:rRNA from 1 species
UGCCAGACUCCUACGGGAGGCAGCAGUGAGGAAUAUUGGUCAAUGGCCGGAAGGCUGAACCAGCCAAGCCGCGUGAAGGACGAAGGUGCCAAGCAUUGUAAACUUCUUUUGUCAAGGGACAAAAUCAGGCUCGAGAGCCUGACCGAGGGUACUUGAAGAAAAAGCAUCGGCUAACUCCGUGCCAGCAGCCGCGGUAAUACGGAGGAUGCGAGCGUUAUCCGGAUUUAUUGGGUUUAAAGGGUGCGUAGGUGGUUAAUUAAGUCAGCGGUGAAAGUUUGUGGCUCAACCAUAAAAUUGCCGUUGAAACUGGUUGACUUGAGUAUAUUUGAGGUAGGCGGAAUGCGUGGUGUAGCGGUGAAAUGCAUAGAUAUCACGCAGAACUCCGAUUGCGAAGGCAGCUUACUAAACUAUAACUGACACUGAAGCACGAAAGCGUGGGGAUCAAACAGGAUUAGAUACCCGAGUACA